rnacentral:rRNA from 1 species
GACGAACGUUGGCGGCGUGCUUAAUACAUGCAAGUCGACUGAAGCAGUGGUAGCAAUAUCGCUGUGGAGGUGGCGCACGGGUGAGUAACACGUAGGUAAUCUGCCUUCAGGUCUGGCAUAACUCCGGGAAACCGGGGCUAAUAGCAGAUGAUGCAGCGGCUCGACAUCGAGACAGUUGUUAAAGCUAUGGCGCCUGAAGAUGAGCCUGCGUCUGAUUAGCUAGUUGGCGGGGUAACGGCCCACCAAGGCAACGAUCAGUAGCUGGUCUGAGAGGAUGAUCAGCCACACUAGAACUGAGACACGGUCCAGACUCCUACGGGAGGCAGCAGUAAGGAAUAUUGCUCAAUGGGAGAAAUACUGAAGCAGCAACGCAGCGUGAGGGACGAAGGGCUUUUGCUUGUAAACCUCUGUAGUGAGAGAAAAAAAUCCCAAUCUUUGGGACAUGAUGGUAUCUCAAAAGUAAGCCCCGGCUAACUACGUG